GUUUGUUGGAUUAGUUGGCCUCCGUGGGAGGGAAGGGAAUCCCAAGUGUCGCUGAAAGCUUCCAUUUCUCUAGCUACUUCCUCCGCUCCCCUAACUGCGAUUUGGGAAUGAGGAGGGGCUCUCGGAACCUCUGCGUCGCCUCACCCCCUGCCCCGGAGAAUACACCUAAAGCGAGUCUUCAACCUUAUCUGUGAGAUCCCGGGUUAGUUUAACCCAUUCUCAUUUUACAUAAGAGGAAACUGAGGCUCAGGGAUAAUGAUACGAACUUAACAUUUGUGUUGCUUAUAGCUGUUAAGCGCUUUGCAAAUUACCCCCUUUUACAUGGGAGGAAACUGAGGCCCAGGGAUACUGGUGACGAAGUAGAUAAGAGUGCUGGUUCAAGACCUCACUGGUUGUGACUGGGCAAGCCACUUAACUGUUUGCCUCUGUUUCCUCAUCUGUAAAAUGAGCCGGAGAAAGCAUUGGCAAAACCCCAAAUGGAGUCACGAAGAGUGGGACACAGUUAAGGCUGAAACUCCUGAAAGGAAGCGUCUGAACAGUGUUUAAAAGCUUUUUUUGACUUGAGUCAUUGUUCUUUCCCCAGUACCACGUUAUUUGGGGAGGGGGAGGAGGCGGUGAAUUCCAGAUCUUUGGUGAGCUGAGAUUAGAGGCAGAACCAUUUUACACCUCGACAGACCAACUGUCGGUACCCAGCACCGACUUCUACCACUAGCUAAAUCGACGGAUCCAUACGGCGCAUGCGCGCGAAGCGGAUCUCUUUGCUCAGCUCUCGCGCAUGGCUAAGUCUCCUUCCCAGCUCGCGCACGGGUUUCAGUCAUCUUUUGCCUUGCUCGCGCACGCGCCUCAAUAUCCCAAGCAGCUCCCGCGCACGUCCCUUUUCCUACCCGCAGCCCUCGAGGGGCGGGAGACGUGGAGCUAAGAAAUCUCAGUGGAGGAGGGCGCGGCGACGGCGGCCGGGGCCAGUUACACCCCCGCCCCUCGCCAGAGUUCCGCCCCCUGGGCCUUAUGGCCAGAGGAAGGGGGGGAGUAGAAAGAUGAGGAAAUUGAACCCCAGAUUAAGUGACUUUUCCUGACAUCAUCUCACACCUAGGAAGUGUGUGAGAUUUUCUUAAGAUUACAGAACUAUGAAGAGUUUCCUUAGACUCAAGGACAAAAAUGAAACAGUUCCUGUCCCUAAGGAGAUUAUAUUUUAUGGAGGUGCUUAAACCUGGGCUCCAGAAAGGCCAUCUCCAUGACCAACUGGCUUUCCUUGGACUCAGAGCAAGGACCCAGGUAGGAGGCAGAAUCUCAGAAGGAGGAAAAUCCCUUGGAGAAAAUCUAGCCUGGAGGUGAGAGUCUAGAACUCUAGGUUGUAGAUCCAGAUCUUUUCUAACAUUUUGUAUCUUCUUUUAUCAUCUGUUAAAUGAGGAUAGAACUCUCUGCCUGUCCUAACUCUCUGACUUUCCAGUCAGUUUCUUGUUGAUCUGAACCUAAGCUUAUAAUCUUGCCCUCAGAGAUCAGGUCCCUGCAUCUGUAUAUAGCCCUCCUCUGUUGCCUCAGGCCCUUCGGGGCCAGGAUGGCAAAGCUUCUUCCCAUCCCUCAUGUCUUCUCCAGGGGUACCUCCUCUGCCAUCUGUGAGAGACACACAGAUAUACUGAGUAUAUAUUUGUGAAAAGUAAUAUGAAGAGAGCCAAUUCACUGUCUCCUAGAGCCUGAGUUCACCAAGAGGCAGUUGGCAAACAGGAUGGCUGUCUGGUCUCAAAUGACCUUGGGUGGGGGAUUAAGAGGGGAGUGGAGAAGGGAAGGUGGGGAGUUUGUGCCUUUUAGGGAAAAACUGUCUGUUUCCAUCCAGGCCUGGGCAGAGAAAAAACUUGGGUGUUUUUUUUUGGUUUGUUUGUUUGUUUGUUUUUGCCAAAAGAUGCCCUGUUCCUUCUAUCUCCCUUGGUUCCUUCUCUUCCUCUGUUACGAGGGAAUUCUCUAUUGUUCCAAUGUGCCAGAAGGAGGGAAGAAGCUGGGAGCCUUAGAUCUUAUUGUCUAGGAUCCAUAGGGACAGCCUAUUGCCCCUCUCUAUGGCCAAAACCAAAUUGGGGAACAAUAGAUUCUGCAUGUCUCUCCUUGAAGGAGGGAGGAGGAGGAGGUAGAAGGUAGGUGUGUCAGCUAGUAUGCAGCUUAAUUAGAGCUUGGAAUGAUGGGCAUAUGAGUAGGGAGGAGAGCUUAUAAGGAGGUGGACAGUUGUUUAGGUGUCUGGCAUCUGAAUUGGAGCAUUUGGGGAAGGGUACAUGUAGACCUGGCUUUGGCAGUCUGGCUCUAGGAGGAUGGAGAGGCCUCCAGCCUGCAGCACAGAUAGCUUAGGGAUUUUAGAUAUCUGGGAUGGCUGAUAGGUUUGUGAGGACCAAGAAGAGAAAGAGGUGAAUACAUCAUGGAAGACGCUGGGGCCCUCAGAGAAGCUGCCCAAGCCAUCUUGACAGAGGAAACACUGCAAGUCAAUCAGUCUACUAGACCGUGGGCUCCUUGAGAGCAGGGACUCUUCUUUCAUCUUUGUAUCCUCAGCAUCAAGUCCUCUGCACAUCGAAGGCUUAGUAAUGUUUGUUGAAUUGGACCAGACCUGGUAUCAGCCACAGAGCUGUCCCCUCCUAUAGGGCUACACAAUCCCUCAGCAGCAAGAAACCUCCAGAGACCCUGCCUGAAGAGAGAGAAUGGGGUGGGCUGGGCUGGGCCAGAGUGGCAGGCAUAAACAUCCUGGCCCUGGCUACCAGAGUGAGCCUGCAGCAAAGGAUGGGGAUGUCAGGGAUCAGCAAGGAAGAGCUCUAGUGCCCCUCCCCACCCCAGUCAAGGUACGUACACUCAGAUUAUUCCCACGAGGCCGGCCCUUUCUCCUCUGUCACAGCCCCACAGGAUGGUGCACACAGAAAGAACAGAAAGAAGAAAAUAAAUAUCAAAGCAAAAAAGGAGAAGGAGGAGCUGGUGGGAGGAGGAGAGUAAUCAUGUAAAAAUGUCACUCAUAGAGUGAGAGGGACAGCAAAGGGAGGAUGGGGAGAGAGAAACCUGAGAAAAAGUGAGGAGAGCAAGAAGAAGGAAAAUCAGAAAAGAUUAAUGUCAUCAGUAAGCAGCCACUCCAGAUAAUUAAUCUCAGAGCGUUUGACACUCUUUAUGCUGGGCAGGUUUGCUUGGUACAAACCAAUCUGCUGACAUAUUAAGAUUGAAAAAGACAGACAGGAAAAGGCCAGACAGAUAGAAAGACAACAGGGAGGCACAUGACUAAUGAAUAUGAGAUCAUGAAAGCAACAUGGAGAUUGGAGCAAGUUUCCCAGCAUCCUGACCAUUGACCUUGCCUCAUGCAAUAAUUCCCCUGACCCUGCCUCCCCAUCAUAUGCAGGUGGCCUCCACAGCUCAUUUUUGCCAUUGCUAAAAGCUGCAGUGUUAUGGCCCUAGCUUUCUCAUCUCACUGAUGCUGGCAAGACCCUGGUGGGCCUGAUUGCCAAAGUUCUUCAUGUUUCUUUAGGUUUCUUAGAGAUUGAGGGUGUGUGAACAUGUGGUUCUAGGGCAUUCAGUUCUCUGUAGGACAAGGUAUCCAGCCUGUCCACUGGUCCCCCUAACCUGGCCCCCAAAGCCCUUCCCUUCCCCUGAAGGCAGACUUAUUCCCUGAAUAUGGGAAGAUGGGGAAGAGGGUCCUUCUUGGCGAACCUCUGCUGCCAGAGGAAACAGUGCAGCCUUUAGUAGUUUGGGUUUUUUAUUCCCUUUCAAGCCACCCACUCUUCCAACGUAAAUGCCACACAAGAAGCUUGUCUAAAGCCAAACAUGCAAACACAAGGACUAGUCCUUCAUUUAACAUUCAUUCAUGCACCAUUCUGUCCAUCCAACCACCCAACAGCCUUGGGAGGGCCAAGCCAUAUGAGACACAAGCUUAGGUCUCAAACCCUCAAUACCAUAAGUGUCAGCCAUUCGACUGAACUUGGAGGGUCCUGCUAACACCAUCUUUUCUCACACUAACCCCUGGAUAAAGCUCAGUCACAAGAGGCAUCUACCUAAGAAUCAGGGGAGAGGGAAGUAGAGCUCUGACUUCUGGGAAAUAGUGAGCAACCCUAUGGAGUCAGAAUCUCCUCCCUACACACACAUACAAACACCCACAGGCACUCACACCCACCCACACACAUCUUAUAACAUGGAUGGGGGGAAAGCUGACAAGUUGGUAAAGCAGCUCAAGACUCAACCACUUAGAAGUCAACACACACACAUGCACAAACAUCCACACAUGCAUGGAUAUGCACACUCAUACCAAAUCUCCUCCCAAAUUCUCAGCUUUAUCAGGAUGAAGAUUAUAGUUAACAUGAACCUGUGCCAUGCAGGGAUUGGCCCUUGCUUUGGGCAUACUGAGGCUGCCCUAGGCCAGGAACAUGCUCAUGCAGGCACCAGAAGCCUGAUGGAAUCUGUCCACUGUCUGUCUAUCUGUCUGUUGGGCCUUGGAGUUCCAAGGCCAAGUUCUCUUUAGCAGACCCACUCCUGGGAGUGAGACAUGAGUCUCCUUAUCUUCCAUAUUCUCACCUGUAUCCAUUUGGAUUGAAUAUAAAAAAACCAAUGGGUUUUUUAGGGGUACCCUUGUCAUCACCCACAUAUCACAUUCCACCUUUACCCUCAGGAUGGGAGAGCUGGGCUCUCCACUAAGUGUUCUGCUCAGAGAAGGCACUUAAUAUUUGUUUUAUUGUUGAAUACAACUGGCCCACUAAAUCUUGCCCCUUAGUCCAGAUGCAAGAACAAUUCAUUGUUUUUCCAAAGUGACUAGGAAGAGGAGUUAGGUCAGCCUUCUCCCAUCACUGCCUUUACCUCAGAUUCACAACUCUACUGAUUGUAAAUGUUCACAAAAAAGCUCUCUCCCUCCUUUUGUUCUUCAAGUUAAAAAGUGAUGCAUUACCUUUAGUCUCAAUUUUCACCCACCCUCCUGGAGGUAAAAUCUGUAGGUUGCCAGGCCUCAGCACUCAUUGGCAGGAAGUCUAGGGAUUGUUUGCACUGACCAAGGCCCCUAUAUACAUAGCAAUAAAGCUGAAAAUGGCAUUCCCAGAAGUUUUGCCUCUGAUUGGAAUCUCCCAUUGUGCACUUUCCCUCACCCAGAAUAGGCACAGGCUUUAAGGAGUAAUCUUAUUGGUUACUGACAGUUUAGAAGGAUUUAUGAAGGGAAUUGUCACCACCCUUAUCCUUCAGAUACUUUCUCAUACUCUGUCUUCUACUCCGUCUAGGAGCUGGCGCUGGCUCCUUGGGAAAAGUCUGCCCUCUCCUGCUUAACGAAGGUCUCUUCCCAUUUAAGAGAAGUGAUGAAGCUCAAUCAGUCUGGCUGUGAUGAAAGAGCUUUCUUGGAGAAGGCUAUAAAGGGAGCAGGUCCAAGGGCUUUGUAUUGUAGACAGUCCCAGAAACAACUAAUCAUUUCUUCUUUGUAAGCUCUUCUUUGCUAGUAGUGAAUCUCUUCCCCUUUCUGCCCCCUACCCUCUCCACCAACCCAAGCAAUGGGCCAGAUGCCAACACAGACCGUGGGGACCCAAACUCAUUUAAAAUCAACCUAAGCCAUUUACCAGCUAAGAAUUCAUUGUUAUAUAUCUCCCCCUCUAAAACUGCAUCCAAGGAUUAAUAGUUUUCUAUCAUUAAUAUUUCAACUCAUCUCCCUUAGCUCUCAAGUGUGUCUGUGUAUAUGUUAUCUAUUCAUACACACAUGUAUAUGCAGAUAUUGUGGUGGACUUAGGGCAUGGGCUUAGGGAAGAGAUUUCUGAGUGGUCUCCUGAUUGGCUUUGCCCCCUGAGGCCUGGGCCUUGGAUACCUAUAAGGAAGCCUUAGGGCUGGCAGGAAAGCUCUUCAGACUCCUGAGGAAUCUGCAACAUCUUCCCCUCUGCCCACCCAAGCUAGACUGGCUUCAUCUCUUGUAGCUAGAAUUCUGUCUGUGCCUAAUAGGCAGUCACUUGAACCAUGUUCUUCUUCAAUUCCUUUGUAUUCAGGUCCUUAAUCCUAUCCCCAACUCCCUAUACCAUGGAACACUUAGCAAAUGAUGGCCUAUACUCCCCAGAAAGGGAAGGUACAUUUUUCAAAAGUAUAAAAUCUAGGGGGAAAAAUACCCCACCCCUCUGGGGGUAGGAUAGAAUGCAGAAUUAGAGGCCUUUUUAGGCAACAGCUGCUCUCUGGGGGAGAGGGCCCUCUGUGGGCUCACCUGCCCCCUUGGAAGGUUCCGAUGAAAGCCCCUCACCUGGUUUUCAGCUGGGAGCCGGGGCAUGGAGGUGGCUCUGCCCUGCCCUUCCAUAGGGAGGUAGUGGUCGCUGUCUGAGUAGCCGUCCUUCCCCAUCUCUCUCAUCUCCACAGACUGCAGGGGACACAGCAAGGGGGUGGGUGAGCCUGAGGCUUGAAGUGUGUGGAGCCAAGGGGAUCCCAAAGCACAACCAGGAGUCCUGGACACUACCUUUGGCUUCUCACACCCUACUGGCCAAUCAGACUGACAGAGAGAUGCUUUUGUGCUGAAUACUUUAUAAGUGAUUCACACACAAUGUCAGAAUAUUUAGUUCCCAUGGGCUUUUAUCCCAGGCUUUCCUAGCCAGUUAGUUACAUGUAGCUUGUUCUAUACCUCUGGUUUCAGGCCUCUUUUUUCCCUGACUACUUUUGGGCUGGGGUUGAGAAAAAAGAAUUCUAAAUUACUUCCAAAAUCUCUGCAUAUCUGGACCAGCCCUGGGGAGAAGAGGGGAAGUUGAAUUUAGCAUCCAGUAGAUUGACCAACUAUUUCAUUAUAGCUUCAUGGUCUGGUGGCUCAUCUCAUUUGCCUUUCUUACCAGAAGAAAAGGGGAUCUGAGCUAACUCAAUAGAAAUGACUGUGAAAAAUUAAAUAGAAAGGAGUGUGAGGCAUUUUAACUUGUUUUUGGUUUUUCUUUUUGCUACCUUCUGCCCUCCUCCCAUGUAUCCCCUGGCCUCUCUGUCCCUUAGCUUGGGAAAUGAGAACUGAUGACAGUCUACUUAUUCCUGGCAGAAAAAGCUCGGGGAGGCUGCUAGAAGCCAGCUGACUUCUAUUCUCUCUUUGAGGAAGUGAGACCUUUAUCUUACUAUGAGCAGAAAUAUGGAUCAUCCUUAACUAUAAAGUAUAAAUGGUUUUGUAAAAUCACAAUUUAAGGUUUAUGGGAAAUCUUUCCCCUGGGAUUUGUCUGGCAUCUGAGGUAUGUCAUCAAAAGGAACUUGGGGAAAUGGGGUGGGCUGAUGACCUUCCCUUAAAAUAGCAGUGUUGUUCUUUGGAUUGAAGGUAUGUUUUAUACCUCUGUAUGGCAAAUUAUCACAGUAUUUAGAGCUGGAAAGACCUUUGGGAUCGUCUGGUCCAUUCCCUUCAUUUUACAGAUGAGGAAACAGAGGCAGCAAGUAGCAUAAUCAGGGCCCAAGCCCAGAUUCUCUCUAAACCCAGUGCCUUUUCUUCUAUACUAGGAUGCUUUCUGAGAUCCACAGAUAGUACUCAGCCCAGGACACAGGAUCUCAGCAAAAGGCAACAGCUUUGCAACAAGAAGAAAAAGAAGGCAUCCUGUCUGUCUGUAGGGACUAUAAGCCAUGGGAUGAGGUACUAGGCUGGUUGAAGGCUAAAAGGUUCCUCAUGGCAACUAGACCCAUAUAUUUGUAACAGGAGAUGAUAGAGCAAAGAACGUGGAGCCAGUCUUAACAAGUGGCUCAUUAAUAUGUUUUAGACAAACAGACUAGGACAGAAAAAUACGGGUCAGAGGUGAAGGCUGGACUCCCAGGUGUCUUGAGGGACAAAGACCUUUUAAGAGUGGCAAAAGGAAAUUCUCUGUAAGAGAGAGCUCUCGAGGUCUGAUUGACUAACUUAUGCUCACAGGAUUUAGUAAGGGAUGCUAAAGACCAGAGAGGUUAUGAGUUGCUCAAGGUCACCCUGCUAGGACAGUAGGGCAGAUCUUGCAGCUAUGGUUAGAUCCAGUGCUCUCUGAACUCUACCCAAUGCAGGAUCUCUCCAAUAUGCUAGUUUAGACACAGCUCUGGACUCCAGAAAGAGUCAAGAGAAAUAAGAAUUCAAAUGAUGGUUUGUAGCAGCUCUGGAAUCCUAGUUAUAUCAUGUUAUCUCUGUGAGCCACAGUUGCCUCAUCUAUAAAAUGGGGAUAUUAUUUUGAGGAGGUUAUUUUGAAGAAAGCACUAUGGAAAUGGGAGGAUUUUGUAAUUUUUUUUUUUGCAGAUACUAUGGAAUGGAGGGUCAGAAGCAGUCACCUUAAAGGUUGUGUGUCAGCCAAGCCAAGUUGUGUCUGUAUGUGGCUAUGUAUACUUAUGAUAGGAUAAGAGGUCUAUCUUCUGUAAAUAUUUCUGUUUCUACUUUCCCCUUUAUUGUUCACCUAGUAAGGCCCCUCUCUGAAAGAGUUUUGUCUUCAUCAAGGCCAAGAGAGGCUAGAAGUAGAAGGAGAGUGGCCCUUGAGACUGUGUUAUUCUUUAGGUUUGGACUAUUAGGGAGGGAGUCAAUUUCAUACCGUUUCUUCCUUUACCACUGACCCCUACCCAUCCUGUACCUCCCAUGUUGCUUCCUCCUUGGCUCAGUGCCCUCCCCCCCAAGCAAAGUAGGAAGUAGCAAACAAGACGACCCUUUGUGGGCCCAUUUGGGCAGGAGGACAUAGGUACCUGAGAGCUGGGUCGGCUAUUGGGCAAAUCAUCAGGAGGCCCUCGUUCAGGGCUCCACGUCCCCGUCUUCUGGAACAUCUCUUGGGCACGUUGGGUCACCCAAGAUGGACUCUCCUUCAUGCCACCUUCAUGGGCCAGACUGCAGAAGCGAGAUAGAGAAAUAAACAGUAAGUUUCCCUCUGGGGGACUCAACAGACACUAUACCCACACUGCUCCUAAACAUUCUGUGUUUUGGUUAAGAAAUUUGAAGUCUGUGUCUUAUUCCCUCUCCAAGAUUAUGAGCUCUUGGAGAGCAAGGUUUUCAUCUCUAUGGAGGUGCUCAGCAAAUAUCUGUUAAAUUGAAAUUAAAGUGGCAGGGUGGUCUCUUGGCCUACUCUUCUGUACUGCUUUUCCGUAGGAGCAAGGCACUCUACUGGCCUCUCAACAGGAUAAUCUUAUCUAAGUGCUAGGGGACCAGCACAUUAGGGAACCCUUUUCCCCAAACCAACCCCUUUCCUUACUGUCAGCUCUAUCCCUUGAAGAAGGGACCAAGUUUUCCCACUCCAUUCCCUUGGGCUGACUCCCAAUGUGGUCUAGAUCUUUUAAAUGCACACCUCCUUCUGAGUAAACAUGAACACUCAAAUUGUUUGGAUGAUGUGGGGAGUCACCAAUUACAUCCUUUUGGAAAGAUGGAGGGCAGCUGGGCCUUACCAAAUUCUCUGCCUCUAAACUUUACCAUCUCCCCUAGGCAGUAGUGAUUACCUCUCUGGUACUGUUAUCAGACCGACUGUUGCACUCUUAGGACUAGGGUUGGUUUUUUUCCCCAUAUAUCCUUCGGCUGGAUCCUCUCCUAUCUCUCUACUAAUUAGAAUAAAAAACUCAUUAAGCAGA